GCCCUUAUAGCUCAGUUGGUAGAGCAGUUGCCUCUUAAGCAAACGGUCCCAGGUUCGAAUCCUGGUGAGGGCACCA
rnacentral:tRNA from 3 species